GCUUCAAUUGUUCUAUGCAUCUAUCCUCUUCUAUCAAAUGUCUAGCCUCUCUAUUCUGUGAUAUGACCUCUGAUUGCUGUGUCUUCUACUGUUCUGAUUACAUUGUGUGAUUUAUUGAUAAGUUCUUGUUGAUCAAAUCUUGUCAAAAGCUAAUCUGAUGAUUUUUGCAGUUGCUAAUUGUCAUUAGUUUCUACUUCUCAUUGUCAGAGUGUCUGUCUUGCUUGUGAUUAUUCUCUCUUCUCUUCUGAUGUCUCUUCCAUGUGUGAUCUUGCUUCUAUUGAGGAGAUUGCUUACAACAAUGUUGUGGGGGUAGAUGAUGACAAUGUGGCUAUCUCUGUCAAUGAUCAGAAU
rnacentral:sRNA from 1 species